rnacentral:rRNA from 1 species
UACGAAGGGGGCUAGCGUUGCUCGGAAUCACUGGGCGUAAAGCGCACGUAGGCGGACUCUUAAGUCAGGGGUGAAAUCCUGGAGCUCAACUCCAGAACUGCCUUUGAUACUGAGAGCCUUGAGUCCGGGAGAGGUGAGUGGAACUGCGAGUGUAGAGGUGAAAUUCGUAGAUAUUCGGAAGAACACCAGUGGCGAAGGCGGCUCACUGGACUGGUAUUGACGCUGAGGUGCGAAAGCGUGGGGAGCAAACAGG